ACACAACUCUCAGCAACGGAUAUCUUGGCUCU
rnacentral:rRNA from 1 species